rnacentral:lncRNA from 1 species
AGAUUUCACUACACUAACAAUCACGAAAUAACUCCAAACAUCUGGAUCAAACUUAAACCGAGAUGUCUCCCCCCCUUCAUACCUAAGCUUCACAUCCUUAAUUAAUUUCCCUCCAUGGUGAAUUACAACAUCAAAAUCCUCGUCCAUGAUGCAAAACACUAUAUAUAGGUCAUCAACAAAAAGACAAAACAUGUAUUAAAAAAUGGAACACAACAUGGGGGGGACCACAACNUUGCAUUCAAAAAUAAAACACAAUCCGACCAAGGGGACCACAACAUGGCANAGAAAAAUGGAACACGAUACAACUAGAGGGACAACAGGGACCACCACCCAACAUCGUCAUAAAAAUAUUCAAAAUAAAACGAAACUUUUACUCACCUCGCCAGUCAAGAAUGCACUUGGAAAAGGUCCCACCACUCCGAGUAGAUGACGAUGAUGGAAAUGAAACCCAAAUUUGCAAAACGAAACCCUAAAUUCCCUAAUUUCUGAAAUUGCUUCACCCUUUCUCGAACCCUAAAGGAACUCACAAUCCAAUCCCUAAUUCAGAUCAAUGCAAUAUAUAAAACCCAAUACGAUUU